rnacentral:lncRNA from 1 species
UGCAAGGAGAGGUGCAGGUUUUCCAUGGGGUGGUGCAUGAGGGAGCCUUAAUGCCCACUCUCGUCUACAGUCUGCAACGCUACUAUCCCAACAUUACCAUUAUUUGAGAUGGCCGAAUCUGCAUGUUUGCCGUUCUGUUACGUUUUACAUUUCUUUUGUUUAUUCAGUUUAUAUCGGCUUUUUAUCACGUAUGCGUGACUGGACAGUUGCUGUAGCACAGUACAGUAAAUUUGCUUGUAAAUUUAUAAAGUACAGCAUAUUCAAAAAUUUGGCCGUAUAACAACCUCAACAUGUUUACAUAUUU